CCCUUAGAUGUUCUGGGCCGCACGCGCGCUACACUGAUGCAUUCAACAAGCCUAGCCUUGACCGGGAGGUCCGGGUAAUCUUUGAAACUGCAUCGUGAUGGGGCUAGAUUAUUGCAAUUAUUAAUCUUCAACGAGGAAUGCCUAGUAAGCGUGAUUCAUCAAAUCGCGUUGAUUACGUCCCUGCCCUUUGUACACACCGCCCGUCGCUCCUACCGAUUGAAUGUGUUGGUGAGGAGCUCGGAUUGGCAGCAGUUGGUGGUUCGCCACCGGCUAUUGCUGAGAAGUCCUCCAAACCGCCCCAUUUAGAGGAAGGAGAAGUCGUAACA
rnacentral:rRNA from 1 species